CCUACGGGAGGCAGCAGUGGGGAAUAUUGCACAAUGGGGGAAACCCUGAUGCAGCGACGCCGCGUGAGUGAAGAAGUAUUUCGGUAUGUAAAGCUCUAUCAGCAGGGAAGAAAAUGACGGUACCUGAUUAAGAAGCCCCGGCUAACUACGUGCCAGCAGCCGCGGUAAGACGUAGGGGGCAAGCGUUAUCCGGAUUUACUGGGUGUAAAGGGAGCGUAGACGGCAGCACAAGUCUGGAGUGAAAUGCCGGGGCUUAACCCCGGAACUGCUUUUGAAACUGUGCAGCUAGAGUGCAGGAGAGGUAAGUGGAAUUCCUAGUGUAGCGGUGAAAUGCGUAGAUAUUAGGAGGAACACCAGUGGCGAAGGCGGCUUACUGGACUGUGACUGACGUUGAGGCUCGAAAGCGUGGGGAGCAAACAGGAUUAGAUACCCGGGUAGUC
rnacentral:rRNA from 1 species